ACGGCCAUAACGCGUUGAAACACCGGUUCUCGUACGAUCACUGAAGUUAAGAAAUGUUGAGUCUGGUCAGUACUUAGAUGGGUGACCGCUUGAGAAUACCAAG